GAUGAACGCUGGCGGCGUGCCUAAUACAUGCAAGUCGAGCGAACGGACGAGAAGCUUGCUUCUCUGAUGUUAGCGGCGGACGGGUGAGUAACACGUGGAUAACCUACCUAUAAGACUGGGAUAACUUCGGGAAACCGGAGCUAAUACCGGAUAAUAUUUUGAACCGCAUGGUUCAAAAGUGAAAGACGGUCUUGCUGUCACUUAUAGAUGGAUCUGCGCUGCAUUAGCUAGUUGGUAAGGUAACGGCUUACCAAGGCAACGAUGCAUAGCCGACCUGAGAGGGUGAUCGGCCACACUGGAACUGAGACACGGUCCAGACUCCUACGGGAGGCAGCAGUAGGGAAUCUUCCGAAAUGGGCGAAAGCCUGAAGGAGCAACGCCGCGUGAGUGAUGAAGGUCUUCGGAUCGUAAAACUCUGUUAUUAGGGAAGAACAUAUGUGUAAGUAACUGUGCACAUCUUGACGGUACCUAAUCAGAAAGCCACGGCUAACUACGUG
rnacentral:rRNA from 1 species